GCUCUGUGGAUCAGUGGCGAACGGGUGAGUAACACGUGAGCAACCUGCCCCGGACUCUGGGAUAAGCGCUGGAAACGGCGUCUAAUACUGGAUACGAGCUGCGACCGCAUGGUCAGCAGUUGGAAAGAUUUUUCGGUCUGGGAUGGGCUCACGGCCUAUCAGCUUGUUGGUGAGGUAAUGGCUCACCAAGGCGUCGACGGGUAGCCGGCCUGAGAGGGUGACCGGCCACACUGGGACUGAGACACGGCCCAGACUCCUACGGGAGGCAGCAGUGGGGAAUAUUGCACAAUGGGCGAAAGCCUGAUGCAGCAACGCCGCGUGAGGGAUGACGGCCUUCGGGUUGUAAACCUCUUUUAGCAGGGAAGAAGCGAGAGUGACGGUACCUGCAGAAAAAGCGCCGGCUAACUACGUGCCAGCAGCCGCGGUAAUACGUAGGGCGCAAGCGUUAUCCGGAAUUAUUGGGCGUAAAGAGCUCGUAGGCGGUUUGUCGCGUCUGCUGUGAAAUCCCGAGGCUCAACCUCGGGCCUGCAGUGGGUACGGGCAGACUAGAGUGCGGUAGGGGAGAUUGGAAUUCCUGGUGUAGCGGUGGAAUGCGCAGAUAUCAGGAGGAACACCGAUGGCGAAGGCAGAUCUCU
rnacentral:rRNA from 1 species